rnacentral:rRNA from 1 species
AACGUAGGACGCGAGCGUUAUCCGGAAUUACUGGGCGUAAAGGGCGUGCAGGCGGUUUGUUAAGUCUAGGGUGAAAGCUCCCGGCUCAACUGGGAGAGGUCCUUGGAUACUGGCAGACUUGAGGAGAGUAGAGGAGAGUGGAAUUCCCGGUGUAGUGGUGAUAUGCGUAGAUAUCGGGAGGAACACCAGUGGCGAAGGCGGCUCUCUGGGCUCUACCUGACGCUGAGACGCGAAAGCGUGGGGAGCGAACCGG